GAGCACACCAAGUCCAAGCUGGCGAUGCCGUGGAGGAGGGGGAGGAUGGAAUAUAGAGGACUUGGCAGACAACUAGAGCCGGAGGAUUUGGGCUCUGGAGUCUUCCUCCAGCCACUGCCUGGUCUACUCCCUUGGGGGAGAUGCCGGCCACAGUGCCUCUGAGGGACAGUCUUGAGCCAAGGGAAGUGUCUCCCCAACCCUGGAGACCACUGUGGGUAUGGCUAGGCGUGCAGACGGGUGGGGCAUCCUUUCCAGCUCAGAUUCAGCUGGAGUUAAACUCCACCCACACCUGCUUCCCUCAGCAGCUCUGUGGCUCCCUGCUAGGCAUACCGGGCCCCCAUCUCGCCCAGUUCAAGGGCUCACCUGGACCCCUCACUCCCCUCAACCAGGAAUCUUUGGAGUCACUCGUCCUCAGAGAGCUGAGAGCUGAGCUCCUUCCAGUGGGGUGACGUCCCUCAGCCGUGGGCUGUAUCUGAAAAUCAGCUGUGCCUCCAAUGUGCAUCUCAUCCAGAACAUCUUUACGCUAGCCUCGCGGAGGUGGAAGCCUGCUGGAGGACCUACCUGGCCUUUGGGGAAAAUUCCAACUGUAUUCAGAGCCUCCCCCACCCUGAACACUUUUAGGCAGAACUCUUUUGGGCUGGGCUCAGCCCCACCAAUCCUCGCUGGGAAUUCAGCUGGGUCUCCCCCACUUGUUAGAAGCCCUGGGCUCCCCCCCCUCUUGUCCCUAUAGGCAUCUUCUCCGUUCCACACAAGGUGAGAAUCCCAAGAGGAGAUUGGAGAGGUUCUUCUAAGGAAGUCUGUCUCAGCAUUCCUCUGGAGGGGAGCCCACAGGACCCGCCUAACUGGAAAGAGCCCCUUGGACUUCUUGCCGAGGCCCAUGAUUCCUUCUCCCAGGAGCAGAGACCUUCAUUCCCUUUCUGCCAGCAUUCAGGUGAAACAGGUUUUCCCUUGAAUGCGCAGGAAGAGAAUUUCAUAUGAACCAGGGUCAGGAGAAUGUGUUGAGAUGGAACCUUGAAGCUGGUUAGCGUACCACAAGGUAAGAGGGCUGAAGAGACAGUAUUUCCUGCUCACACUUGGGUUUCUCAGCCAAGCCUGCUGAGAAAUUCCAUCCUUUGCUGUAGGGGGAGAGGGGAUUCUGUGUGCCUAGGAAAUGGCAGACAGAAAAGGGUUAUGUGACCUCCAGGGAGCCUCUUCCAGGCCACAUGGAUCCCACUUUGUAUUUCUGGGCCCAUCUUGGUGCCAAGUGGAAUUGUCAGCCAGAAGCCUCAGACCAACUCUGGAUCCAAGUACAUUAGGAUGAGGAAAAAGUCAGGAAGGCCUAAGUUUGAACCUCAGAUAGCUGUGGAGGAAUGAGAGUUCCUGUGUGUGUUUAAUAUACUUUUAUUAAUUUCAGAGAGGAAGGGAGAGGGCGAGAGGGAGAAACAUAAAUGAUGAGAGAAAAUCAUUGAUUGGCUGCCUCCUGCAUGCACCCAACUUGGGAUUGAGCCCGCAACCUGGCCAUGUGCCCUGACUGGGAAUUGAACUGUGACCUCCUGGUUCAUAGGUGGAUGCUCAGCCACUGAGCCAUGCAGGCUGGGCAAGCCUUCCUGUUCUUUAAUACAAAUCCCUGAGAUGUCCAUUUUCCCCCUUUGGGAGGGGGAGAAAAGUACUAACUUACAGCCCAUUUCCUUCCUCUUUGCAGGUCUCCUGAUAACAGGAGCCUGUUACUUCUCCUCCUGUGUUUCUCACAUGCAGAAAUGAGCCAUUUCCCCAAGCACAGAGUUCUUAUACCGUACCCCUGAGGGUCUGGUUUGUGGGCCAGAGCUGUCAUUAAAAUUGUAAUAUAUGGCCCCAGCCAGUUUUGUUCAGUGGAUAGAGCGCCGACCUUUGGACUGAGGGGUCCUGGGUUUGAUUCCGGCGGGGGGCACAUGCCUGGGUUGCAGGCUCGAUCCCCAGUCAGGGGCGUGCAGGAGGCAGCCAAUCAAUGGUUCUCUCUCAUUAUUGAUGUUUCUAUCUACCUCUCUCCCUUCCUCUCUAAAAUCAAUAGAAAUAUUUUUUUAAAAAAGUGUAAUAUAUCACCACCAUCGUCUCUCAUGGUCUCCAUAGCCCUGUUCUUCCCACACCUCUCGCUUUUCUCAUUAAUACUGUCAGCACAAACUGCUUUCCCUUCUAGGACUCCAAGACCUCCUCACCAUCCUCUGUCAGGAGUUGCUGUGAAAUGAGAAAGGGAAGAACUCACUUACCUGCUUAAUACUAGGUUUUGCCCUACAUCAGGCACCAAAUAAAACCUCAUUUAUACUUUUCCUUUUUUGAGGACCCAGCCUCCCAGCUUUUUUGGUGAAGGGGUUAAUACACUUUUUUUUAAAGCUAAUUUCUACUAAAACCCUGUCAUAUCCCCUAUAAGUGAAACUGGCUCGUGGCCAUUUUGGUUAGAUUUUUUUGAAAAUACAAGAAAGCCUUCUCUUAAAUAUGUUCUCCUUAUAUGCUUAAAAAUAUCAUCUUACAGCCUUUCUCUCCUGAUUGGGUAAAUAAAUUGUACUUGUUUUUUUUGGCUUAUUUUCAUCUUUUCUUUGGACUUGCUAUUACUCUUUAGGGCCCUAGGAAGGAGCAGAAUUCAACCUACUUUAGCCAUCAGCCAAGUAUAACUAUUUAAAAUCAAUUAAAAUUAAACACAAUUGAAAAUUUAGUUCCUGAGUUACACUAGCCACAUUUCAAGAGCUCAAAAGUCAUAUGUAGCUAGUGGUACCUGCUGUUUUGGACAGCAUAGAUUUAGAACACACCCAUCAGUGCAGAAAGUCCUUUUAGAUCUAGUAUAGAGGACUAGUAAGCCUGCCUCGCCCUCUUUGUAAUCUUAUUUUAUUAGUCAAUACAUAUUUGUAAUAACUUCACUGUUAUAGGAUAACUUUCAGAGGGGGUCAAGGAUUGGGGUGGGAAAUAGCAAGGAAAGUAUAGGUCCUAUGAAAGUUUCAGGAGGCAUGGCAUAGUGGCCAGAGGUUGAUGACCAAUGGCAAGGGAGUCUUAGCUUUUAAGGAAGUACUUUAGGGGCUGAUAUUCAUAUGUACCAACACAGGGCCACCCACACCCUGACAAGAGUAGACAGGCUCCGGUCUCCUGUAUUAGGUCUGCAUAAUACUUAAAAAACAAAAGACUGCCCUGUGGCCUUGCUGAAACUGAGUAGCUAAAGUAAUUGCUUUUUACUAAUCAUUUCUAGAUCUUGAUUUCAUAUACUGCUUUGUUACUGUCCUGUUCUCCCAAGUGUCAGUGACAUAAGCAGCACUAAUGUUUAUAAAAGGCUUGCUGACCCUGCCAUCUUCACACCAAGAGCUGGGAGAAGUCUGGGUCCUAUCAAUUAACCUACAGAUGUUGAGACUACAUUUAGUAAGGGUCCAGCUAGGUAAAGCUGUUCUUUCACUGAACACUUGAACAACUAUGCCAGGCACUGGCUCUAGGGCCUAAGUGAGGCUAGUCUAUGGAUAUGACCAGUUUCCCUGCAUCUAGAACAGUAGUUCUCAACUAGGGACAAUCAUGCACUCCCCUCCCCUGACAUCUCAUCCUGCAAUGUCUGGAGAAAUCUGUUGUCACAACUGGUGGAGUGGUGCUACUUACAUCUAGUAGGUAGAGUCCAGAGACUCUUAAGUAGCCUACAAUGCACAACCUUCUCCCCGCCACCAAAAAAUUAGCUCACUCAAAUUGUGUCAACAGUGCUGAGGUUGAGAAGCCCUGGUCUAGACCAUAACAUGAACCAGUUCUUCACGCCAAGACCAAUCACAAGGUCCAGGCUCAGUAGGAUAGUAAGUAAGGCUAGCAAGUAUCUGAUAAAUUGGGAAGGAAAACAAUUAGAAGUUGAUCGAACGGUAGCUGGUAUAACGAGUGUUUUUAACUGCACCAGAAAGCUAAGAGCUAAGGUCAUAGUGCGAUUGGAGUUGAGGAUUUCAGGUAUGUAGCAAGUCUAUUGAAAAUGCGGGCCCGGGUACAGCCACAGGGGCAGAGAGGAGCAAGUUUAAACAGUCUGACUUUGAUACAGUGAUCAAUAGCUAAACCUGUAGGGAAGACCUGCAAUAAACAGAUGAGCUGCUGGAUAUGGAUAGACCAGUUUUUCUCAACAACAUUUUUGUAACCCACACCUCUACUCAUACAUCUAAAAAUCUUACAUUUUCCUUCCAGUGAUACUUACAUUUUCAAAAUUAAGUAUCACAACUAAAAUCAAUUUAAAAAAUGGUAAUCUUGGAAUGCAAAACUUUAUUCAGAUGAUAUGAUAACCAUGUCACAGUUAUACCUUAACUAUUUUUCCUGGGCGGUGUAGAAGAUGCAACAAAAUGCAAGCUGUUUAACAACAUUCUUUCACUGUUUUAUCCCCACAGCUAGAUAUAGCAAAAAAAGAAAAAAAGCUUUUACGAUGUAAGGAAAAAAUGGAAUGAAGUAUUCUGUUCAGUCGUUUGACAUCUAAAUUUCUUCAGAGUAUCUGGAAGUUGCUAGUAAAAACAGUCAGACUUUUGAGUUCCAUAAAAUCUUUCUGAAAUUCUUCCAGUGAAAACUAAACAUCAGUGUGAAACACAUUCUUCCCCAAAGCUACCAAAGAAUACAUCACCCCAAAAUAGUUCUGUAUAUUUCAUUUUUUUUCUUGAAAUAAUAUUCAUGAAUCUGGUUCUCAAAAGACUGACCAAGAAAAUUAGACAUUGUUAGCAUGAGUUUGCUAUCUGUAGCUGGAUUUUUGGCAAGUUUUGCUUCAAGUAUUUAAUAAUGAGCAGUGCUGGUGUUUGCUCCUGGACACUUCAGGGUCAAUGUAUUUUAAACUUCAAUGUGUUACAUUCUGAAAGUUUUAAUUUUUAAAGUGUAGGUUCUUUUUUGUUGGUGUUUUAAAAUCAGGAUUGUUCUGUUAUUGGUGUUCCAAAUUCUGUUGUUCUGACCAUAAAUUCAGCUAAAUUCAGUUCUUUAACAACCAAGGAACCUCAGUAUAUAACAGAAAACACUCUGAACAGCAUUUAGAUCUUCAAAUCCCAAGGCAAACUGGGAUCAGAUGUAAUGUUUUCCAAAUAAUGAUGCUGACAGCAGGCUGAAGAUUUCCAGUAGAUUGUGGGCAGAUCGAUGGAAGUUUAUGGUUGGUAUUGACUAUUGCAGGACAUCUUGAAUGCCAAUUUUCUUCAUUUUUUGCCCCCCCCCAAAACAAAACCGAUCCAAAACAUGCCAUUGCUGUAGCACCAUCAAUGAAUACUAUAAUUUUUCACCAAACUCAGUUUAUGUGAUAACAGUUUCAAAAAAAAAAUACUGUCUUUAGUGGUCAAGUACGAGGCUUAUGAAAACAGCACAUCCAUGGUUUUUAAAGCCUAAUUGUGAAAAUAAGCAAAGCACAAUUUCCUUUGUCAGUAGAUUCAUCUCAACUAAUAGCAAAGAAAGAUGAGCUGAUGUUUUUUAAAACCUGAAGAGUGAUAUGCUCAGUCAUCAAUUCCUUGUUAAAACUGCAGAAGUAAAUGAAGAAAUUCUGGGAUUCCUCAAUUUCCUCUUAAAGUUGUGACAGCACUUGGAAUGUAAGGUUUCACAAGUUUCUCCAUUUUUUUUCUCCUUUGCAAUUAAAAGGGCUAUUUAACAUUAAGCUUUCAUGGCCUUUGAAGAUUCCUGUUAAUAUUCCAAUACAGUCCAAUCUUAAAGCUGCAGAGGAUUGUGCUCUGUAGAACACUGUUUUUAAUGGCAUAAAUUUAACAGUGUUUGGCAUGGUGUCACUGCCCAACACUCAAAUAACUCAACUGGAGAAGCUGACCCUAUCUUCUACAUCAUAACGUGAAUAUAUGCUUGAUAAAGACCUCAAAAAAAAUUGGCUGCCAUCUUUAGCUAUGUCAAAGGAAAAAACAUAAACAAGGAAUACUGAUGAUGGAAGCAUCUGGUCCCUCUUGCAGAGCGAUGAAUGACUUUAUAGGCGGCAGCUGGGUGGCAGGGCAAUCCAGCUAUGCCUGAGCCUCCAUAGGUGAAAUUCUUUGUUCAUUUUCUUUUUAUACACCCACCUGCCGCCUAAAACCUGACACCAUUUAAUGGUGCCCUUAGUCAAAUCUAAGUGGUCUUACUUUCACAAUCCUCUGAUUCUAGCUUGAAGAGUCAAGACGAACUCUAACUCAUGGAAUGGACAAAAAGGAAGAUGUAAAUAAGUUUUCAGAGUUAAAAAGCCUCUUUUUAUACAAAAUUAAACUUCAAACUUUAAAAAAAACGUUUAAAAGAACUUUGGGGGGUGGGGGUGGGAAGAGAUUAACCAAAGAACUUACAUGCAUAUAUGCAUAACCCAGGGACAUAGAUAAUAGUGGGGUGAAGGUGAGAGGGCAGGUACAGGGGAGGAGGGGGAUCACGAGGGGCAGGGGUAGGGGAUAUGUAUCUGUAAUACUUUCAACAAAAGAAGAUUGACCUCAAAACAAUAUAACUAUCCUGGAUAUGCAAUAAUAUAAAUGAACAUCUAUGGCUACCCAGCCUAUUAAAUACCUCAUUAAGUAGUAUAGACCUAAUCUGAAGGCUGCUUGCUGUACCCAGUAUAACCCAUACCCUGAAAUGCUGAUAGAAGUUGUGGAGGGAGGGGGGAGAGUGCCUUUCUCUCCUAUUCCUGAAAAUCAUUGAUAAGUAACAAAUCUAUUCCUAACACCUAAAACUAAAAAGCCUGACCACUCCAAAGUAGAUAAAAAAAUGUGUUGAAUUAAUAGCUGAUGAGAGAAUUCAUGUAACCAGAACUGAGAUGGAUAAUGUACAAUGUUAAAUAAACCACUGUACAAAAAUAGUUCCUUAAACAAUGUUAACUAUUAUAAGACUUUUGUUAAGUAAAAUUCUAAAUCAUGCUACUGGAAUGUGCAUUCACCUUUGAAAGCAAGUUACAAAACUAUGAACUGUAUAAAGAAUGAAAGAAUAUGUCAGUUACUAUCAAUUUACACAUAACUUACAUAAAACAAAAGAUUUUUACCUUUU